rnacentral:tRNA from 2 species
GGGCGAUUAGCUCAGUUGGGAGAGCGCUCCCCUCACACGGGAGAGGUCACUGGAUCAAGACCAGUAUCGCCCACCA